UACGAAGGGGGCGAGCGUUGCUCGGAAUCACUGGGCGUAAAGGGUGCGUAGGCGGGGCUUUAAGUCAGGGGUGAAAUCCUGGAGCUCAACUCCAGAACUGCCUUUGAUACUGAAGAUCUUGAGUUCGGGAGAGGUGAGUGGAGCUGCGAGUGUAGAGGUGAAAUUCGUAGAUAUUCGCAAGAACACCAGUGGCGAAGGCGGCUCACUGGCCCGAUACUGACGCUGAGGCACGAAAGCGUGGGGAGCAAACAGG
rnacentral:rRNA from 1 species